rnacentral:rRNA from 1 species
UACGUAGGGUCCGAGCGUUGUCCGGAAUUAUUGGGCGUAAAGAGCUCGUAGGCGGUUUGUCGCGUCUGCUGUGAAAUCCCGAGGCUCAACCUCGGGCCUGCAGUGGGUACGGGCAGACUGGAGUGCGGUAGGGGAGAAUGGAAUUCCUGGUGUAGCGGUGGAAUGCGCAGAUAUCAGGAGGAACACCGGUGGCGAAGGCGGGUCUCUGGGCAGCAACUGACGCUGAGGAGCGAAAGCGUGGGGAGCGAACAGG